UACAGAGGUGCCAAGCGUUAGGCGGAAUCACUGGGCUUAAAGCGCGUGUAGGCGGGUCGUUAAGUGUCCGAGUGAAAUCCCACGGCUCACCCGUGGAACCGCUGGGCAUACUGGCGAUCUUGGGCCAUUCGAGGGCAGCUGGAACGAAGCGGUGGAGCGGUGAAAUGCGUAGAUAUCGCUUGGAACGCCAAAGGUGAAAACAGGCUGCUGGGAAUGUGCCGACGCUGAGACACGAAAGCCAGGGAGCGAACGGG
rnacentral:rRNA from 1 species